UACAGAGGUCUCAACCGUUGUUCGGAUUCAUUGGGCGUAAAGGGUGCGUAGGCGGUCGUGCAAGUCGGAUGUGAAAUCUCAGGGCUCAACCCUGAAACUGCAUCCGAUACUGCGUGGCUAGAGUGCUGGAGAGGAGACUGGAAUUUACGGUGUAGCAGUGAAAUGCGUAGAUAUCGUAAGGAAGACCAGUGGCGAAGGCGAGUCUCUGGACAGCAACUGACGCUGAGGCACGAAGGCCAGGGGAGCAAACGGG
rnacentral:rRNA from 1 species